CGUAAGUGUUUAAGGGCGCAUGGUGGAUGCCUUGGCAACAGGAGCUGAUGAAGGACGUGGGAAUCUGCGAUAAGCCUGGUGGAGCUGAUAACCGAGCGUUGAGGCCAGGAUGUCCGAAUGGGGAAACCCGGCAUGCUGUAGUGGUGUGUCACCCCACGCUGAAUGUAUAGGCGUGGUGGGAGGAACGUCGGGAAGUGAAACAUCUCAGUACCGGCAGGAAGAGAAAACAAGAGUGAUUGCGUGAGUAGUGGCGAGCGAAAGCGUAUGGGGCUAAACCAGUGGCGUGUGAUACCCGGUGGGGGUUGCGUUGCUGGGGUUGUGAGACCACCCGUGGAGGAUCCACCGGUCCUCUGGGUUGAGGUGUCGGCGUAUAUGCGAAGACUGUUGAGACGGUCACCGUAGAGGGUGUGAGUCCCGUAGUGGUAAUGCGUACGGCCGGCCUGUGGUGUGUUCUCGAGUAGCACGCGGCUCGAGGAAUCGUGUGUGAAUCUGCCAGGACCAUCUGGUAAGCCUGAAUACUCCCUGUUGACCGAUAGUGAAUCAGUACCGUGAGGGAAUGGUGAAAAGUACCCCGGGAGGGGAGUGAAAGAGUACCUGAAACCAUGUGCCUACAAUCCGUCAAAGCAUGCCCGUGUGGUGUGUGAUGGCGUGCCUUUUGAAGAAUGAGCCUGCGAGUUAGUGCUCAGUAGCGAGGUUAACCCGUGUGGGGUAGCCGUAGCGAAAGCGAGUCUGAAUAGGGCGUUUUUAGUUGCUGGGUCUAGACCCGAAGCGGAGUGAUCUACCCAUGGCCAGGGUGAAGCGUGUGUAAGAGCACGUGGAGGCCCGAACCCACCUAGGUUGAAAACUGGGGGGAUGAGCUGUGGGUAGGGGUGAAAGGCCAAUCAAACUCUGUGAUAGCUGGUUCUCCCCGAAAUGCAUUUAGGUGCAGCGUUGAGUGUUUCAUCCUGGAGGUAGAGCUACUGGAUGGCUGAUGGGCCCUACAAGGUUACUGACGUCAACUAAACUCCGAAUGCCAGUGAUGUGAGAGCUCAGCAGUGAGACGGUGGGGGAUAAGCUUCAUCGUCGAGAGGGAAACAGCCCAGACCACCGGUUAAGGCCCCUAAGCGUGUGCUAAGUGGGAAAGGAUGUGGAGUUGCUGAGACAACCAGGAGGUUGGCUUAGAAGCAGCCACCCUUGAAAGAGUGCGUAAUAGCUCACUGGUCAAGUGAUUCCGCGCCGACAAUGUAGCGGGGCUCAAGCACACCGCCGAAACUGUGGCAUUCAGCCCUCGUUGUGGGGGUUGGGUGGGUAGGGGAGCGUCCGACACUGCGGUGAAGCAGCAGCGUAAGCUUGUUGUGGAGUGUGUUGGAGUGAGAAUGCAGGCAUGAGUAGCGAAAGACACGUGAGAAACGUGUCCGCCGAAUGACUAAGGGUUCCAGGGUCAAGCUAAUCUGCCCUGGGUUAGUCGGGGCCUAAGGCGAGGCCGACAGGCGUAGUCGAUGGAUAACGGGUUGAUAUUCCCGUACCGGCGAAGAACCGCCCACGCGAAACUACUGAGACUAACCACCCGAAACCAUGCUGAUGGGCGCCUUUGGUGCCCACGGUGUGGGACUAGCGUGGGACCUGAUGUGGUGGAGCGAGCGUAUUAACAGGUGUGACGCAGGAAGGUAGCCGGGCCCAGCGAUGGUUGUCUGGGUCUAAGAAUGUAGGGCGGACCAUAGGUAAAUCCGUGGUCUGUGUGCCUGAGAUUUGAUGGGCCCCACCUUUGGGUGGGGAUCCGGUGAUCCUAUGCUGCCAAGAAAAGCAUCGACGCGAGGUUUUAGCCGCCCGUACCCUAAACCGACACAGGUAGUCAGGUAGAGAAUACUAAGGCGAUCGAGAGAAUCACGGUUAAGGAACUCGGCAAAAUGCCCCCGUAACUUCGGGAGAAGGGGGACCACCCUGGUGCCCAGCCCUUCGCGGUUGGUAGCUGGUGGUGGUCGCAGAGACCAGGGGGAAGCGACUGUUUACUAAAAACACAGGUCCGUGCGAAGUCGUAAGACGAGGUAUACGGACUGACUCCUGCCCGGUGCCGGAAGGUUAAGAGGACCUGUUAGCGGCUUUGGCUGCGAAGCGGAGAAUUUAAGCCCCGGUAAACGGCGGUGGUAACUAUAACCAUCCUAAGGUAGCGAAAUUCCUUGUCGGGUAAGUUCCGACCUGCACGAAUGGAGUAACGACUUCCCCGCUGUCUCAACCGUGAACUCGGCGAAAUUGCACUACGAGUAAAGAUGCUCGUUACGCGCAGCAGGACGGAAAGACCCCGAGACCUUUACUAUAGCUUGGUAUUGGUGUUUGACAUCACUUGUGUAGGAUAGGUGGGAGACGUCGAAGCCCUCACGCUAGUGGGGGUGGAGUCAUCGUUGAAAUACCACUCUGGUGUUGUUAGGCAUCUAACUUCGGGCCCUGAUCGGGUCCAGGGACAGUGCCUGGUGGGUAGUUUAACUGGGGCGGUUGCCUCCUAAAGAGUAACGGAGGCGCCCAAAGGUUCCCUCAGCCUGGUUGGCAAUCAGGUGUUGAGUGUAAGUGCACAAGGGAGCUUGACUGUGAGAGAGGCAUCUCGAGCAGGAACGAAAGUUGGGACUAGUGAUCCGGCGGCACCGUAUGGAAGGGCCGUCGCUCAACGGAUAAAAGGUACCUCGGGGAUAACAGGCUGAUCCUGCCCAAGAGUCCAUAUCGACGGCAUGGUUUGGCACCUCGAUGUCGGCUCGUCGCAUCCUGGGGCUGGAGUUGGUCCCAAGGGUUGGGCUGUUCGCCCAUUAAAGCGGUACGCGAGCUGGGUUUAGAACGUCGUGAGACAGUUCGGUCCCUAUCCGCUGCGCGCGUAGGAGAUUUGAGAAGGUCUGUCCUUAGUACGAGAGGACCGGGACGGACGAACCUCUGGUGUGUCAGUUGUCCUGCCAAGGGCACCGCUGAUUAGCUACGUUCGGGAUGGAUAACCGCUGAAAGCAUCUAAGUGGGAAGCCGGCUUCAAGAUAAGAUCUCCAUCACCCUUUGAGGUGUGAAGGCUCCCAGUAGACCACUGGGUUGAUAGGCCAGAAAUGGAAGCACAGCAAUGUGUGCAGUUGACUGGUACUAAUAAGCCGACCACUUACACACCACCCCACCC
rnacentral:rRNA from 1 species